rnacentral:tmRNA from 1 species
AGGCACCGGAGGGGACCGCGGCGCGGCCGAACGAGUCGUCGUCGAGCAGGACCUCGACCUCGACGGUCGGGUUGCCGCGGGAGUCGAGGAUCUCGCGGGCGUGGAUGGCAUCGAUACUGGCCAUGGGAGCACUCCUGUUCUGUCGAGCUGAUACGUGAUCGGACGCCGGUUCUCGGGCUGCUUCUCGGGUGGCAGGCCGUCCCCGCGGAUGCAGUCCCAGCCUAGUGCGCGGGUCCGGUGCCCGCGGCGUCGCCGGCAGCGGAUGACGCCGGUGCGGAUCCGGUGGUGUCCG